rnacentral:rRNA from 1 species
CCGCUGGGUUUGGUGUUGAGCAAUACGACUUGGGUUUGCUUGAAAGACGGUAGUGGUAAGGCGGGAUCGCUUUGACAAUGGCUUAGGUCUAACCAAAAACAUUGCUUGCGGCGGUAACGUCCACCACGUAUAUCUUCAAACUUUGACCUCAAAUCAGGUAGGACUACCCGCUGAACUUAAGCAUAUCAAUAAGCGGAGGAAAAGAAACCAACAGGGAUUGCCUCAGUAGCGGCGAGUGAAGCGGCAAAAGCUCAAAUUUGAAAUCUGGCGUCUUUGGCGUCCGAGUUGUAAUUUGAAGAAGGUAUCUUUGGGCCCGGCUCUUGUCUAUGUUCCUUGGAACAGGA